UGAGGAAGUUUGUGGAGUGGGUGUGACAGAGACAUACUCAGGAAGGCUGGACCCAUGGAGGCUGCCCACCUUGUUCAUUGAUUUCUACUUGAUUGAUUCCUUCUUGAUUGAUUUCCAGGAUCUCUGAAACGAGAAGCCCUCCCCUUUAUAUGUUUAAUCAGAUAUUGCAAAGUGGACCUGAGAACGAGCCCGUCGGAAGCAGAUUAUGAAGGGGCCUAUGUUUUGAAUAUGCUGAACUGCUUUGGUUUGUGACUGGGGAAGAUUAAAGGCCUACAACAAAAAUGAGUGCUGGAUAUUGCUGACAAGAGAGGCUUCCUGUAAUUUCUCAGGCCAUAAGUAUUUAGUGAGUAUUUACAAGGUGUGGGUUAUUUUCAGAAACUCUUAGACCAAGAGACUCAGGAACUGGUAUGUCCCCAGGGACACUGGUAUCCCUGUCUCGCUUACUGGAGUGUCUCAUACAGGGACUGGCACAUAAAUACAGAAACGCUAUACAUAAACGCUAGUUAAAUGAAGGCACAGGUGAACAAAUGAGUGAACGAAUGAUCAAGCGAAUCUACUCGUUCAGUCCCUCAGGCUUUGUAACCCCAGUAACCAAGAACGAUGCCUGCCAUGAAUUAGGCAAUCAAUAAAGGUUUGGUUCCAUGAGUUAAUAAAUCCAAUCAAGCAUUAGUAACUUACCCAAGUAUUCUGUUUGACUAUUAAAAAUUUUCCAAUGUAGUUGCUAAUAAUUGUCAUACUCUUU
rnacentral:lncRNA from 10 species